CCAAAUGAUUCAUAGUGGUGUUUACCUGC
rnacentral:piRNA from 1 species